GUUACGCUAAUACCGCAUAUUCUGUGCGCAGGAAAGCAGGGGAUCGCAAGACCUUGCGCUGAUUGAGCGGCCGACAUCAGAUUAGCUAGUUGGUGAGGUAAAAGCUCACCAAGGCGACGAUCUGUAGCGGGUCUGAGAGGAUGAUCCGCCACACUGGAACUGAGACACGGUCCAGACUCCUACGGGAGGCAGCAGUGGGGAAUUUUGGACAAUGGGGGCAACCCUGAUCCAGCCAUGCCGCGUGAGUGAAGAAGGCCUUCGGGUUGUAAAGCUCUUUCAGCCGGGAAGAAAAUGCAUGGGUUAAUACCCUGUGCAGAUGACGGUACCGGAAUAAGAAGCACCGGCUAACUACGUGCCAGCAGCCGCGGUAAUACGUAGGGUGCGAGCGUUAAUCGGAAUUACUGGGCGUAAAGCGUGCGCAGGCGGUUUUGUAAGACAGGCGUGAAAUCCCCGGGCUUAACCUGGGAACUGCGUUUGUGACUGCAAGGCUAGAGUACGGCAGAGGGGGGUGGAAUUCCACGUGUAGCAGUGAAAUGCGUAGAGAUGUGGAGGAACACCAAUGGCGAAGGCAGCCCCCUGGGUCGAUACUGACGCUCAUGCACGAAAGCGUGGGUAGCAAACAGGAUUAGAUACCCUGGUAGUCCACGCCCUAAACGAUGUCAACUAGGUGUUGGGAGGGUAAAACCUUUUAGUACCGUAGCUAACGCGAGAAGUUGACCGCCUGGGGAGUACGGCCGCAAGGUUAAAACCCAAAGGAAUUGACGGGGACCCGCACAAGCGGUGGAUGAUGUGGAUUAAUUCGAUGCAACGCGAAAAACCUUACCUACCCUUGACAUGUCAGGAACUUGCCAGAGAUGGCUUGGUGCCCGAAAGGGAACCUGAACACAGGUGCUGCAUGGCUGUCGUCAGCUCGUGUCGUGAGAUGUUGGGUUAAGUCCCGCAACGAGCGCAACCCUUGUCGUUAAUUGCCAUCAUUCAGUUGGGCACUUUAACGAGACUGCCGGUGACAAACCGGAGGAAGGUGGGGAUGACGUCAAGUCCUCAUGGCCCUUAUGGGUAGGGCUUCACACGUCAUACAAUGGUCGGUACAAAGGGUCGCCAACCCGCGAGGGGGAGCCAAUCCCAUAAAGCCGAUCGUAGUCCGGAUUGUAGGCUGCAACUCGCCUGCAUGAAGUCGGAAUCGCUAGUAAUCGUGGAUCAGCAUGUCACGGUGAAUACGUUCCCGGGUCUUGUACACACCGCCCGUCACACCAUGGGAGCGGGUUCCGCAGAAGUAGGUAGCCUAACCGCAAGGGGGGCGCUUACCACGGCGGGGUUCGUGACUGGGGUGAAGUCGUAACAAGGUA
rnacentral:rRNA from 1 species